rnacentral:lncRNA from 1 species
UUUCAUUAAUCGAGGUGAGUAAAGUUACGAGGAUUGCAGUUCACCAAUGCUCGAACUGUUAAAAUCGGAAUGGCGAAAAAUAGAUUCAGAAAAUAACUUAAUGCAGGAAACGAAAAGAAAAAAGUAAAGAGCACACCGAUAUUUACGUAUUUCGGCCAACGGCAUACAUCCACAGGUGAAGACGGAGCAAAUAGUUUAUUAAUGUCGAAAGACGGAGUACAAAAAAAUCUCACAAAAGAUCAAAACUUAAUUAGAUCCGAAACGCAACAAACAACUCCAAAAGCGGCUUCUUUCUCAAACCC